CAUGAAGCAAAAAAUUUGAGUGACACAAGGAGGAAGAAUGUGAAGCGAGAAGGACGAUUCAGAGCAAGCUGUGAAAGGGAACAGAAGAGAAGAAAGCAACUGUUUUCGUGUGAGUGUGCUUCCGUCCCGGUGAAGCUGCCCCGCCAUUCCUCACCACCUCCUGAAAAGAACACACACAUCAAAGAAAAAGAAGAAGAAAGCAAGGCUGUGUUUUGCAUGCAUUAGUGUGCAUCAAUCAGGCCCAUGAUCUUGGAAAUUUGGACACCAUCUUUUUCUUUUGCUGUAUGCGGAGAGAGCAAUUGACAGUGAUCAGACAAUAAGCAGAGAACCCAACGAGACAUUUUUCAUGUCCUUGUAACAUGAAAUGAGCAGAAAUAGAACAGAACCAAAGAACACAAUAGCAGAAGUGAAAGAGUGACCUGAGGCAGACAUCUACCUCUACCAAAAUCAUCCGAACGCAAGUCCUGAGCUUUGCUCUUGAUGUUGAACCAUCUUCUGACAAAGGACUUGGACCAUGAAAGCUGCUCUCAAGCCCACGAAAGGAGGAAAAGAAGAAGAAAAAGAGUAAGAAUCAGUAAUCCAUGGAGCUCGGUGGCUAAGAAGAAUGGCCUCAUGCAGCUGAACAAAUGCUUGGCGACAGCUCUUCAGGCAUCAAAAAGGAAUGAAAUGCGGUAAGCGUAAUCUUUU